rnacentral:SRP_RNA from 1 species
GCCGGGCGCAGUGGCGCGUGCCUGUAGUCCCAGCUAGUUGGGAGGCUGAGGUGGGAGGAUUGCUUGAGCCCAGGAGUUCUGGGCUGUCUGCACUAAGCCCAGAACUCCUGCACUAAGUUCAGCAUCAAUAUGGUGACCUCCAGGGAGUAGAGGACCACCAGGUUGCUUAAGGAGGGGUGAACUGGCCCAGGUUGGAAACGGAGCAGGUCAAAACUCCCGUGCUGAUCAGUAGUGGGAUCAUGCCUGUGAAUAACCAUUGCACUCCAGCCUGAGUAACACAGUGAGGCCCCAUCUCUA